UACGAACUGUGCGAGCGUUAUUCGGAAUCACUGGGCUUACAGGGUGCGUAGGCGGCUCAACAAGUCAGGUGUGAAAGCCCCCGGCUCAACCGGGGAACUGCGCUUGAAACUGUUAGGCUCGAGUCAGCUAGAGGUACACGGAACUUCCAGUGGAGCGGUGAAAUGUGUUGAUAUUGGAAGGAACACCGGAGGCGAAAGCGGUGUACUGGGGCUGGUCUGACGCUGAGGCACGAAAGCCAGGGGAGCGAACGGG
rnacentral:rRNA from 1 species